AUGCUCACUUCAGCAGCACAUAUACUAAAAUUGGAACAAUAUAGAGAAGAUUAGCAUGGCCCCUGCACAAGGAUGACAUGCAAAUUCAUGAAGCAUUCCAUAUUUAA
ensembl:snRNA U6 U6 spliceosomal RNA